CAGCCGCCGCGGGAAUACGAAGGGGGCUAGCGUUGUUCGGAUUUACUGGGCGUAAAGGGCGCGUAGGCGGGCUGAUAAGUCGGGGGUGAAAUCCCAAGGCUCAACCUUGGAACUGCCUUUGAUACUGUUGGUCUUGAGUCCGGGAGAGGUGAGUGGAACUGCGAGUGUAGAGGUGAAAUUCGUAGAUAUCGGAAGGAACACCUGUGGCGAAAGCGGCUCACUGGACCAUUUCUGACGCUGAUGCACGAAAGCUAGGGGAGCAAACAGGAUUAGAUACCCGAGUAGUCCCUGUCUCUUAUAC
rnacentral:rRNA from 1 species